UUGCCAAAACAGCCUAUAUACCGCCGUCGCCAGCCCACCUCGUGAGAGCACAACAGUGAGCCCAACAGCCCACAGCCCACUAACAAGACAGGUCGAGGUAUAGCCUAUGAGGUGGAAGAAAUGGGCUACAUUUUCUAAAAUAGAAAACCCAACGAAAAGGGGCUUGAAACCUGCCCCCAGAAGGCGGAUUUAGCAGUAAAGUAGGA
rnacentral:rRNA from 1 species